UACGAAGGGGGCUAGCGUUGCUCGGAAUCACUGGGCGUAAAGCGCACGUAGGCGGCUUCUUAAGUCAGGGGUGAAAUCCUGGAGCUCAACUCCAGAACUGCCUUUGAUACUGAGAAGCUUGAGUCCGGGAGAGGUGAGUGGAACUGCGAGUGUAGAGGUGAAAUUCGUAGAUAUUCGCAAGAACACCCGUGGCGAAGGCGGCUCUCUGGGACGGUACUGACGCUGAGACGCGAAAGCGUGGGGAGCGAACAGG
rnacentral:rRNA from 1 species